rnacentral:lncRNA from 1 species
CCUUUGUGCUCCCACCAUUUUUGACAAUGCCCUGCCACUCCUGCGUCCUUAUUCACUGACCAACCAAAAUUAAUACAAGGUGUCACCCUUUUUUGGGUUUGGAUGAUGGGUUUCUUGGUUGGAUUUAAGUUAGAAUUUGGAUAUUUGAUUGAAUGUUUCGUGGGUAUCAAAUGAUACCGGAUCUCAAAUUUAAAAUUGAAGAUAUUUCCAGGUGAU